UUUAGCUGCUUAAGCAGUGACAAGCACAGUCGUCCUGGCUGGUAACGGCCAGAGAUCAUAAUUGGGUGAAUUGCUGGAAACCCCUUAGAGCUUUUCUUGCCACAACGCAGUUGGAAACGACAGGCGUGAAGGUCCGAAAAAAGAAAAGAUUGGGCAAUCAGCAGCCAAGCUCCUGUGAGGAAACUCUGGAGAAGGUUCAACGACUAGGAUAGACCAUCUAAGGCGAAAGCUAUAAAGCUAUGAUGAUGAAAUCCGUAGGUGAAACAAUGUGGUUCAGCAUUGUGAAUCCGAAGUGCCCAACCCCUACUAGAAGCUAGAGGGUGAAGAUAUAGUCUGGUCAUUUAUGAAAGUAAAUG
rnacentral:ncRNA from 1 species